rnacentral:hammerhead_ribozyme from 1 species
AUCCAGACGACGAGUCCAAGACAGGACCAAACGCGCUUUUUGUAU